rnacentral:piRNA from 1 species
GUGAGGCGCAGCGGAGACGUGAUU